GUUCCUGAGCAUGUAUGCAGUACAGCUGAGUUGAUUUGCUACUUGUUACCCUACAAUUAGCUUGUUUUUGGUAUUGUUUUCUCACAAUAUGCUUAUAUUCAUGGUUCCGGCUUAAAAUGGUGUCGCGCCUUACUUAAACAUAGGAUUGUUAUAGCAAGUGUCCCCUUCAUCAUUUACCUUAGAGGGAUUUUUUUGACAAAAUUUGGCACUUUCAGCAACUUGUUUUGUUUUUUAUUUGGUACAUGCUUCUCUCAUUCAGUGAUUUAAUGACAGUAUUGUCCUUAUUCUUUUUUCUUUGCAUAGAAAGGUGACAUGAAUCAUUGAUAUUUGUUGUGUUGAGAAUUCUGCAGGAAGCUGUGUCCCCAAAAGAAGUACUAGAAACCCCUUUCAGGACACUGCCUUGAUCUGAACUGCCUUUCUACCCCUAUUACUACAUGGAACAUCAUUGCUAAGCUUAUAAUGCUUGCCUACAUAUGUGUUUUUUGUUCAAUUUAACUUUUCCUUCCAGCUUAAAUCCCCCCCCCCCCCCCCAACAAAUGAGCAUUGUAUUCUUUCGCUUGGUUACAAACUCCCAUUUGGACCAGAUUGCCACCAUAAAAAUAGCCUAAAGUACAUAUUUUGUGUCCAAAAUAUGAAAAUUUGUAUUGUCUUGAACCUCUAAAUGAGAGCUGGCAAUGCAUUUUGACCAUCUGCUGCAGUUAAAAGGCACCCAUGACAUUAUAUGCUAGAAUAUUUCAUUGGCGGCUGGUAAAUAAAUGGGCACCGAUCGACAAGGCGCUUUCAAGAUUUUACACUUUUAUUGGUGUGAAAUAACAAGUUAUUGGAAGCUUAUUGAUUUCUACACUUCAAAGUAUCUUUGAUCUCUCAUUUUGACUAAUUAGUUUAUUGUCUUGGAUGAAAUUGGAUUGUUUUUGCUUUGAAAUUGGCAUUUUUGGGAUGAUUAAAAAAAAACACACAAAAAAGACAUUAUCAAAAUUGCUUAGAGUGAAAAUAUCUAACAAAUUCAUUCUUUCCCCACCACACAUUAGCCCCACUUGCAUGUCUUUUUGGUUUGUUUUGGUAUUUUAUUGCAGAUAUUGAACACAACAGCUUUAAAUCUUAAAGGGGCAGUUAAGCUUUAACAGGCCUAAUAUCGCCUUCUUCGGACUGAAAACACCCGCGUGUGAAAAUAUGAUACAGAAUGGCCAAAUGGACAGCUAAUCCAGCCAAACUUAAUAUAUUGGUGCAAUAUGGAUGGGAUGAUAAUAAUAUGAAAGAAAAACACAUUUCAGUAAAAAUAAAUUUCUCUUAUAGGUUACAAUACACUAAAUACUUUUGGUGUUCAAUGCUAUACCCUCUAAAAACAAAAUCUUCAUUUAUUUGAAGACACAAUUCUCUGUACGGGCACUUGCCAUGACUUUAUUUUUGAAUAUUUCUGUGUUCAUGUGGUAGGGAAAACAUUGUUGUAUACUACAAAUUCCCUGUUUUGCUUUUAGGUUGGAGACUACAUAAGACUUUGACAGUUGGCGGGAAACCAUCAUCAACUGGAGAGAUGCCGGAAGAGGAAUGUCUGCGACUAAGUCAAGGGCCACUGGAUAAGGGUUGUUGAUGGCAAAACAGGUUGGAGACUACAUAGACUUUGACAGUUGGCGGGAAACCAUCAUCAACUGGAGAGAUGCCGGAAGAGGAAUGUCUGCGACUAAGUCAAGGGCCACUGGAUAAGGGUUGUUGAUGGCAAAACAGGU